GAGGUUUACCUUCGAAUCUGCGGAUGGCUCAUUAAACCAGUGUUAAUCUAUCAGAUUAACAUAGACGGAUACCCCAGGCAAAUCUUGGACUAAUACGCGCAACAUAACAGCUCUGACUUUCAUGGAAGGAGUGUGCUUACAAGUCCAAAACCAUCGCUUGAAACUUGUUUCUUGCUUUGAAAUUGAAGAAAUGUAACUUCACUGAUCGUAGCUCGUCACUACGACAUGUCUGACAAGACACUGACCCAUCAACUUGAUAUUUGGCUAUAGCCCAGAUAUGGUUACAACGGGUAACGGGGAAUGAAGGUUCGAUUCCGGAGAGGCAGCCUGAGAAACGGCUACCGGUCCUAAGGGAGACAGCAGGCGCGAAAAUUACCCAAUGCUGACCUAGUGAGGUAGUGACGAUAAAUAACAAUCCGAGUAUUUUUAAUAUUUGGAAUUGGAAUGAGAAAACAUUAAAUCACUUAACGAAAUCAAUUGGAGGGCAAGUCUGGUGCCAGCAGCCGCGGUAAUUCCAGCUCCAAUAGCGUAUAUUUAAAUUGCUGCAGUUAAAACGCCCGUAGUCAAACUUCUUGGGGCAAGGUGGCAGAGUCAGUUCAACUGUCUAUAUGGCAAACUUCCACUCUUAUUAAACCCCCCAUACAGCAGUUAAGUCUUUUAGCUCCGGGAUGAUAAACACCGUCAACAACUCGGCAGUACCAUCUAACUAGCACCUCUCUAUUCAGUAGGUGUGGCUAUUAGACGUUUACCUUGAUUUAAUCAAAGCGUUCAAAGCAGGCAAUAACAGCCCGAAUGUAUAAGCAUGGAAUAAUAAAAGAUGACCUUUGGUCCUUUUGUUGGUUUUAAGACCAUCGGUAAUGAUGAAAGGAGUAGGUUCGGGGCAUUAGUAUUUACUCGCUAGAGGUGAAAUUCUUGGAUUGAGUAAAGACUAUCUACAGCGAAAGCAUUUGCCAGGGACCUACUUGUCGAUCAAGGACGAAAGUUGGGGGAUCGAAGAUGAUUAGAUACCGUCGUAGUCCCAACAGUAAAUGUUGCCAACUCUGAGUUGGUGAACUUACAUAAUCAUCAUCUCCCCCGAGAAAUCGCAAGU
rnacentral:rRNA from 1 species